CCUACGGGUGGCUGCAGUGAGGAAUAUUGGUCAAUGGGCGCGAGCCUGAACCAGCCAAGUCGCGUGAGGGAUGACGGUCCUACGGAUUGUAAACCUCUUUUGCCGGGGAGCAAGCGUGCGUUCGUGAACGCACGUCGAGAGUACCCGGAGAAAAAGCAUCGGCUAACUCCGUGCCAGCAGCCGCGGUAAUACGGAGGAUGCGAGCGUUAUCCGGAUUUGUUGGGUUUAAAGGGUGCGUAGGCGGGAUGCCAAGUCAGCGGUAAAAUUGAGGGGCUCAACGCCGUCGCGCCGUUGAAACUGGCGUUAUUGAGUGGGCGAGAGGUAUGCGGAAUGCGUGGUGUAGCGGUGAAAUGCAUAGAUAUCACGCAGAACUCCGAUUGCGAAGGCAGCAUACCGGCGCCCUACUGACGCUGAGGCACGAAAGCGUGGGUAUCGAACAGGAUUAGAUACCCGAGUAGUC
rnacentral:rRNA from 1 species